CCACCCCUCUCCCUCUAUAAAAACUCCCUAGCCGGCCACCUCCACUCCUCUUGCUCUCAUUUUUCUUCUCUCCACUCACUCCUCCACCUUAUCUACUCCCUCACACUCUUCUCCUACUCUCCCCCACGAAAAUGCAGCUCCACCUAGCUCCCAUGGCCGGCCAUGGCCAUGGAAAGAACUCCAAGAUGAAGUUCCCUCCUCCCUCAAGCUCCUCCUCACCAUGAGAGCCUCCCUCUCCUUCUUCUCCCCAGCCCUAGAUGGUUUUCUCUCCUCUUCCUCUUCCUCCAUUGCUAAGAUUGGAUCUUGAUGCAGGUGCAUGUUGGUCCAAGCAUGGAGAAGCUUGAGCAAUCCUCAGAUCUGAAGUUCUUGAGCAAAAUCCAAAUCGAGUGAUUCAAAGUUCCGCGGAUAGGUAUUCAAAAGAUCUACAACUUGGCGUUGGUCUCAUCCUCAAAUUCGCUACAGAUUCUCCCUGAUCAAGAUCUGGACAGAUCUGGCUUUGUCGAAUUAAACCAGGAGCUUGGGAACGAAUUUUUUGAAUGAAAC